ACGAGAGCCUCUACUUCAAUCCCAUGAUGACCAAUGGGGUUGUGCACGCCAAUGUGUUCGGCAUCAAGGACUGGGUGACGCCGUACAAGAUCGCGGUGCUGGUGCUGCUGAACGAGAUGAGCCGCACAGGCGAGGGCGCCGUCAGCCUCAUGGAGCGGCGGAGGCUCAACCAGCUGCUCCUGCCCCUGCUGCAGGGCCCAGAUAUUACACUGUCAAAACUUUACAAGUUAAUUGAAGAGUCUUGUCCACAGCUGGCAAAUUCAGUGCAGAUCAGGUAAACUUCAUUUUCUUCUUUAUAUAUGAAAAGGUGUGAAGGUAGAUGAAAAUCACAAAAGGGUAUGUGGUAGUUAAUUCUUUUAAAAAGAUACCUUUAUUACCCUAGGUUGUUUUCCCAAGAGCCUUUACUUAAUUCUGUUUUGUUGAAAAAUGGAUAGCUUUUUCUUUGGAGACAGGGUCUCAUUCUGUUGCCCAGGCUGGAGUACAAUGGUGCAAUCAGGGCUCAACGCAGCCUGGACUUCCUGAGCUCAGGUGAUCUUCCCACCUCAGACUCCCAAGUAGCUGGGACUACAAGCAUACACCACCAAACCUGGCUAAUUUUUUGUAUUUUUAGUAGAGAUGGGAUUUUGCUUUGUUGCCUAGGCUGGUCUUGAACUCCUGGGCUCAAGCAAUCCCUCCGCUUCCACCUCGCAAAGUGCUGGGAUUACAAGUGUGAGCAACCGCACCUGGCUGAAAAAUGGGUAACAUUAAGCAUACUGUUUUAUAGCUUUUUUCCCCAAAUUUUAUUAUUCCUUAUGGAUCCAUCUUACUCUUUUUAGUCAUUGCAGAUAAUUGAAUGUUUAUUGGUUGAUGUGAUAGUUUGACAAAUUUUAUGAUCAAGAAAACAACAAUGAUACUUUUCAGAAAUACGGGAGUAACAUUUUGAAUUAUGAAGUUUGUUUUAUGAGCCACCAUUUUAUACAAAUCUCUGAAUUGCCUGUAAAAUACAUUAUUUGAGGUAAUUGAGGAAUAUGAAACAUGAGAAAUUAUUCAAAGGGCCUUUCUAAAAUAUGCACCUCGAUUUUCUCAUUCAGAAUCAAACUGAUGGCUGAAGGCGAGUUGAAGGAUAUGGAACAGUUUUUUGAUGACCUUUCAGAUUCUUUCUCUGGAACUGAACCAGAGGUUCACAAAACAAGUGUAGUAGGUAUGAAACUCUUCUAAGAAGAGCAGAGAGUAUUUUCAUUGAAGUGAGCAGCUUUCUAAGUCAUGUCUAUCAUUGUUCUGCUAUAUCUGUGAACAGACACA
rnacentral:lncRNA from 1 species